UUUUUUAGGAAGACUCUGGCCUUCCCACAAGGGGAGGCCAGGAAAUUUCCUU
rfam:HIV-1 isolate 01TZA207 from Tanzania gag protein (gag) and pol protein (pol) genes, partial cds; and vif protein (vif), vpr protein (vpr), tat protein (tat), rev protein (rev), vpu protein (vpu), envelope glycoprotein (env), and nef protein